rnacentral:ncRNA from 1 species
CUAUGAUUCAGCAUAUGAUUCAUGGCAAAGGAG